UACGAAGGGGGCUAGCGUUGCUCGGAAUUACUGGGCGUAAAGGGCGCGUAGGCGGACAGUUUAGUCAGAGGUGAAAGCCCCAGGGCUCAACCUUGGAAUUGCCUUUGAUACUGGCUGUCUUGAGUUCGGGAGAGGUGAGUGGAAUGCCGAGUGUAGAGGUGAAAUUCGUAGAUAUUCGGCGGAACACCAGUGGCGAAGGCGACUCACUGGCCCGAUACUGACGCUGAGGCGCGAAAGCGUGGGGAGCAACAGGGAUUAAGAAACCCUUGUAACGUCCGAGCA
rnacentral:rRNA from 1 species